GAUCUGUUUUCAAAAAUAUAAUAGCAGAGGUUUUGAAAAGAGGGAAACAGACAACCAAAAGAAAUUCAUAGUUUCUUUCGGUUGGCCGCAUGACCAUUGCGCAUGGAAAAUGCGAAGCGACACGUAGAAAAAAUGGAGACAGUGAAA
ensembl:ncRNA T04C12.31 ncRNA